UCCAUGGGGAAUCCAAUGGAAUGAAACCAAAUGCCACGACGGGAGGGACGGACGCUUUCGUGCAUGCACACGGUCCAAGGACAAUCCGUGCGUAUCAUGUCCCAAACCCUGUGCAGCCAUGGUAAAGUCCUGGGUAUACCUGCUGUGCGUGGCAUAUCAAAAAUAGCAGAGGAUU
rnacentral:ncRNA from 1 species